CACAAUAAAGGGGUUUUCAUGUCCUUGGUGCCCCAUGGACACCACACACUGAUCUUAUCAACACUGCCACUAUGAUUGGGUCAAUGGUUGCUUCAAAACUGAUGACUCCGCGUAUAUGGUACUUCCCAUCUAACUUUUUCUGAUGAGGUCCUCAGCGAUGCUCAUAUGGAUUGGCUGGAGGCUGUAUACACACUACCUUGGAUGCCAGAAAUGAAUGAUCUCCACUAUGUGAGUUAUCUCCCCUUGUAUUGCAUACGAACGAGGUCUUAUAUUGAAAGAUGUUGAGUCCAACUCCUGCCUUAUAAUAAUGUCUGCAUUGUAAGUCUUUGUGCCCAUCUAAGAGCCAGCAGACCUGUGGUAUCUGAUGAUUCUUGAUGUUAAGGAAGCAAGGGUCUAUGCCUUUGACGUGAACAAAACCCUCGAAAGUAUUAUUAGAAGAGAGGCUAACAUGACUCACAUUGUGAGUAUAGUUUGUCGCGCUUUGAGAAAGUUGGUCAUGUUGAAUUAGAAUCUGGUCAACUUUAGGCAUGGCACCCCAUAUUCGGCAAACUGGGGCAAGUGCUACAACCCAGCUGGUCUGCCGACGAUUGUCGAUGGUGUGGACAUUGCGGUUUGGUGCCUUUAUUGGCUCCUCUACAAAGGCAGAAUCAGUCCGAGGAUCUUCAAUCCGAUGGCCAAUGCAGAAACUGUUAAGAUGAAGGCAACUGUCAAGAUAAUUCAGUCCGUUGGGAACGAGGAAGGAGGAUCGGUGGAUGUUCGGUCACAACCGAACUGGUUGGAUGUCAUAUCUUUCAACUAAUACUACCAUAUAUCCAAUUGUUGUCACUUAUGUUAUUUUGGGAAAAAUUUCGAUUAAGUAUAUACGCCACUAAGUUUAUUUUGGUAGUUUGAGUAAAAGGUGAUGACUCCAACUUGUUGCUCCUUGUGCCUCUGGACUAAAGGCCCUUAUGAACCAUCUUGUUAAUUGUGUUUUGCGAGGUUUAGGACAAGCUAGAACCUCAUAGCCUUGUUUAUGUCAAUAGUAUCCUAGAAGACACCUCAUGUGUCAAGUAUAAACUUUAUUAAGUUGUACCUAGGAAAUCAGCUGCUCCUGCAGCAACUAAACCAAGUCCAGCCAUGCCUUGGAUGAUUGGCCUUAUUUUAGUUGUGUGAGGCUAAAUCUCUAUGUACGGUUUGCAUAUGUGAAAAACUUAUGAAAUGUUGCUUCGUAUUAUGUAUUUUGAUUGGCACAAGUUAAUUAAAUU